rnacentral:lncRNA from 1 species
CGUUUUUACUUUCAACUUCACCAAACUCAAAUCCCCCUUUUACUUUCUUGUUUUAAAAUCUUUUGUUUACAUGUUUAACUUUGUUUCUUUUUGUUUUUGAGUCAGUAUAGAGGUUUUAGCAAGCCCUCCUAAUCCCCGGUUUAGAACGAUCCCUACUUACAUACUUUGCUACAAUUGUCAAAAAGAGGGUUUAAUUUGUGUGUUAACUUAUUUUACGCAUCAAAUUACAUGAAGUUGUGGACUUUUGUGUUUUUACAAAGUGACCCCAAAAGUUUUUGUAUUUGCAUUGUGGCCCAAUUGUUGUGGUCAUAGUUUCCUUAUGGCCCAAAUAAGAUGAGAACAAAAUGGUUUUGUCUCCUAAAUGAGAAUUGGAUUUUCAUUUCAUUUAGUUCCAUUUAAAUCAAUUCUAUGGAUCCAAAAACCAAUUGUUUAAAGUUGUUUUCUUAGUUAAUGUGAUUGAUUAAGAAAAGGGUGAUUAUGAACCAAAGGCCUCGAUAAUUGAGCUAUGUGAUUGGCCGAUUUACAUUAUGAAUGUUUGGGUUAAGUAGAUGAGAUUUGAAGGUAAUUUGAUUAAUUCAAUUUGUUGUAAAUGGACAUAAGUCCAUCAUUUGUGUUGUAAAAGGGCAUAAGCCCUUAUUAUUAUUUCAUGUAUUCCUUUUGUUUAUAUGUAUGCAAAUUGGAAUAGUUGGGUCCAACGCCCAAUAGGAAAUAACGGUUUAAUUGGAUUAAACGCGUAACUAAAAUCAACAACUAUCUACCUUAAACCCAAGGUCCAACACAAGGCUCGUGUUGGAUCAAAUCAAACGGUUCAUAAUCAUCCUAAAACCUAAUAUGACUAUAUAGUCCAUAUGAGGAUGCAAUGCAUUCGUUAAUAGUUCCAUAUAGUCUCACUUAUUUCUUCGAAAUAGUGGGAGUAUUAUAAACUACUAAUUCAUAUUAAACUUGGACCAAUAGUUGUGAUAGGCCCAAGUUCUUUUAAUAAGAUUAAAAUGAUUUUGAUGUAGCCCAACACUACUCCCUCAAAACAAAUAUUAAGUUGAUAAGCGAGAGAUGUUUAGAAUAUCUCUUCGUAGGCCUUCCACCGUGGUGGGCUCCAAGCGUUUGUGACUCAUGCACCGGCUUCACCCUAUCAUGGGGAAGUACAAAGUAUGUGCUUACAUCCAGGAGGAGUCCAUAAACAUAUGAUGAUGAGGUGAGUGUAGGCAACGAGGAUAGCCGACAUCGUAUCAUCGUGAGGCUAUUCUUGAACCCCUUCACAAACUAAGCAUGGUGGGAAUAACUUAACUAAGUGCAAUGGAGCCGACAUCGUAUCAUCGUGAGGCAACAUUCUCUAGAGGCCAAACGGAUGGGUAAUUACAAAAGUUGUAAAUGAAUAAAGCGUUAUUCUCUCAUCAUUAUUUUUGCUAGCCAACAUCGUAUCAUCGUGAGGUGGGCUUGAUAAUGGUGAGUCUUCCAUACCCCGUUAAGAGUUCAAUAUAACUCUCGAAUUCCAUUGCAGGAUGUGGAAUUUGCCAAAAAUAGUGGGUGGUACUAUUUGAUUCAAAGACCCAAUCAAAUAGUUUUAAACAAACAAUCAAAUACGAUUUCUGUUAUGUUAUGUAGUUAACGACAUGCCUAAAAUUAUACCCACCAUUAUACUUGACAAAAGGGGCCUUAAAGGCCAACAUUUCCUUGCUUGGUAUCGCCACAUUGAGAAUAUCUCAAAGGUGAAAGACAUAUUGUAUGUGCUUAAGCAAUCCCCUCCUCAUGUACCUUCUACGAAACUAGCUUCAAAGGAGGAGUGUAAACUAUAACGUUUAUAUUGGGCUUUUAAGUUGGUUUUGGGUUUCGGGGCCCAAAAGUGUAUGACAACUAAAACAAAAUGGGCAUGUAGACAUCGAAAUUUCGGUAAAUAAAUGUUGACCAAUAAAUCAAAGUGUCAACGCUCAUGUAUUACAUAAAUUUUACACGUAGCGUGUGACUCAACGAAAAUUGAAAUGAGUUGGAAAAGUCAUCAAAUAGGACACGUGUCAACACCUAGCAGAAAUGACUUAUUUCAUCUGGGAUAUUAUAUUCAAAAUUAGGCCUUGGAAAUUUCUAUAAAUACAAGCCUAUUUCAUUCAUUUAAAGGGACCAAUUCAUAUUACACCUUGAAGCUCUGAAGCUCUGAAACUAAGCUCUCAAGCAUCCAGGUUCCCGAAGAAUCAAGAAAGCCUUCUUCAUUCUUCGUUCAUCGUUCUUUCAAGAUCAAGCCCCGACGACCCUUGAAGAAAGCAUCAUCGUUCAUCAUCCGUUCAUCCAAGAUCAAGCCC